UCCAACCCUUGCCGAAUGCUAGGGCGAGAACAAUUACAAAAGGAUCAAAAGAACUAGACUAGGCUAGUCUAUACAGAGCUCUCGUCCUUACUCGCAUCCCCUGUUAAAAAAAACAAAACUAACGGAAUGAGCUAAAAGCUCAGUGAGGUUCCAAACACAUAAACAAACAAACAGUUCAAUACAUUAACCAUAGAUAGCAAGUAAUUCAAGAAACAUGACAAUAUAAAGCGAUAAUAACAUUCAUUAAAAGGAUACGUGCUCACUUGGAGCCAUUC
rnacentral:lncRNA from 1 species